rnacentral:rRNA from 1 species
UACGUAGGGUGCAAGCGUUAAUCGGAAUUACUGGGCGUAAAGCGUGCGCAGGCGGUUUUGUAAGCCAGAUGUGAAAUCCCCGGGCUUAACCUGGGAAUGGCAUUUGGGACUGCAAGGCUGGAGUUUGGCAGAGGAGACUGGAAUUCCUGGUGUAGCAGUGAAAUGCGUAGAUAUCAGGAGGAACACCGAUGGCGAAGGCAGGUCUCUGGGCUGAAACUGACGCUCAUGCACGAAAGCGUGGGGAGCAAACAGG